UCCCGGGUCGUCCAAGGGCAGGACCGCGUCUUUUGGUGGCGCUGAUGGGGGUUCGAAUCCUCCCCCGGGAG
rnacentral:tRNA from 1 species